AGGAAAGGAAAGGAAAGGAAAGGGAAGGGAAAGUAAGGUAAGGGGAGGAGGGAGGGAAGAAAGAAGGGAAAAGGAGGGAUAGGAAAGGAAAGGAAAGGUAAGGGAAAGUAAGGUAAGGUAAGGUAAGGGAGGGAGAGAUGGGAAAGGGAGAUAGGCCUUGAACUAAAAAAUAUGUAGGCCACCACCACCACCACCACCACCACUAACACCACCAAAACUCAUCACCACUCACCACCACUAGGUUAGGGCAGGUUAAGUUAGGUUCAAUAUCACCACCACCACCACCACCACCAC